rnacentral:rRNA from 1 species
GACGAACGCUGGCGGCGUGCUUAACACAUGCAAGUCGAACGAAGAGCGAUGGAAGCUUGCUUCUAUCAAUCUUAGUGGCGAACGGGUGAGUAACGCGUAAUCAACCUGCCCUUCAGAGGGGGACAACAGUUGGAAACGACUGCUAAUACCGCAUACGAUCUAAUCUCGGCAUCGAGGAUAGAUGUAAGGUGGCCUCUACAUGUAAGCUAUCACUGAAGGAGGGGAUUGCGUCUGAUUAGCUAGUUGGAGGGGUAACGGCCCACCAAGGCGAUGUUUAGUAGCCGGUCUGAGAGGAUGAACGGCCACAUUGGGACUGAGACACGGCCCAGACUCCUACGGGAGGCAGCAGUGGGGAAUCUUCCGCAAUGGACGAAAGUCUGACGGAGCAACGCCGCGUGAGUGAUGACGGCCUUCGGGUUGUAAAGCUCUGUUAAUCGGGACGAAAGGCCUUCUUGCGAAUAGUGAGAAGGAUUGACGGUACCGGAAUAGAAAGCCACGGCUAACUACGUG